GAUUAUGAUGUGUGUUUCAGACACCCCAUAUAGGCAGUGGUAUAUUAGUCGCCCAAUAUGAGAAGAUAGUGGAUUUUGGGCUCCACAGGGCUCCGAUACUGUUUGCAAAUGGGGAUUCAUUUGUGUCAACAUGAACACAGGUUUUGUCCGCAACAUCAUCGUCAUUGGACGCAGGUGUGGUGGGCUCGAGUGCGCUGUGUUGACGUGGGUACAUGACACGCCGAUGACUGGACUGGUUAUACAGUGUCAUGUGGAUGCAGGGGAAUCUGAACUUCAAGCCAUCGCCCCAACUUUUCCAAG